GGUCCCUCCCUUCACUGAGCUCAACCGUCCAGGGUCCAGCUCAAUCUGCUGGCUUUGAGCCUCCCUACCCUUCGCUGUUCUGUCACUGGUGAAUGCCCCGUAUAAGUGAGGAUUUUACUGCGAGGAUGACUCCAUCCGGUACCUCUACCGGCCAGACACCAUCACCCAUGGGCUCAUGGCCGGGGUCACCAUCAUGACCACCGUCAUCCUUGUCUCGGCGGGAGAAGCCUACCUGGUGCACACGGACCGGCUCUAUUCCCGUUCCGACUUCAGCAAUUACGUGGUUGCCGUGUACAAGGUGCUGGGGACCUUCCUGUUUGGGGUGGCCGUGAGCCAGUCUGUGACGGACCUGGCCUAGUACACGAUCGGCCGCCUGUGCCCCAACUUCCUGGCCAUCUGUGACUCUUGAGUAGAGCUGGGUCAACUGCUCCGUCUACGUGCAGCUGGAGAGUGUGUGCAGGAAAAACGCUGCUGAGGUCACCGAGGCCAGGUGAGUGUGGACGAGCAGCCUUCACUCUGGGGGGCAGUGGGAGCUGAAGAAGCUGCAGAAGCCAGAUGGUGAGGAGCCAGCAGGCAGGUGGUCAGGCAGGAGCGGGGCCUCAGGGCUCCCGGUGCCCCGCAGACAGCAGGAGGCCGGGGGGAGCGUGCUCUGUCUUCCCCGAGUCUCAGCCCUGCCCUCUUCUGCGCUGUCUUCUUACCAUCUCUACUGAUAGGUCCUUAAACGUUUCAACUC